UACAUAUUUUCUGUUGGUGGUUCAAAAAGUAUUUUGUGUAAGUCAUGGUGUUUGUCCUAUUGUGAAUUGUGGUUAUCGGUACUGCGAUAAAUUCAGAAUAGUGUAGUAAAUACCGUUUUGUCAAGAAAACAGUACUAAACCUACAUAACCUCACUUCUACACGCAAUGCAGAAAAUGCAAUUUCUCAACACAGACAAAAUGAUGAAUGUCCGGACGCAACCAAAAAAAAAAAUAAAAGAAGAAAUCGAGUUAAAAAUUGCGGGAGAUACGCAGAAAUUGGAUGAAUUGUUUCAGACUGAUAAUAAUGUUUAUUUGUCAGGAAGAGAAGACGUAAAAAAACGUGUAUGCAAUUUUGAAGAAAUUAUUAAUAAUGAGCCAAAUUGCUUUCAAGUUUUCAGGGCAAGGAAAAAAAUAAGCUCUCUUUUAGUGAACUCACAAUUAACAAGGCUACAAUAUGUAAAGUACCACACGGAAACGUCACAAAAACGCCACAACUACUGAAAUUUAAAAAAUGGUAGGACCUCAUUAAGCGCAGACAAAAGCA